rnacentral:rRNA from 1 species
GAUGAACGCUAGCGGCAGGCCUAACACAUGCAAGUCGAGGGGCAGCACGAUAAAGCUUGCUUUAUUGGUGGCGACCGGCGCACGGGUGCGUAACGCGUAUGCAACCUACCUUGUACUGGGGAAUAACCCGGAGAAAUUCGGACUAAUACCCCAUAGUAUCUGAGGAUGGCAUCAUUCACAGAUUAAAGGUUACGGUACAGGAUGGGCAUGCGUCCUAUUAGCUAGAUGGUGAGGUAACGGCUCACCAUGGCGACGAUAGGUAGGGGGCCUGAGAGGGUGGUCCCCCACACUGGUACUGAGACACGGACCAGACUCCUACGGGAGGCAGCAGUGAGGAAUAUUGGUCAAUGGGCGCAAGCCUGAACCAGCCAUGCCGCGUGCAGGAAGACGGUCCUAUGGAUUGUAAACUGCUUUUAUUUGGGAAUAAACCCCCCAACGUGUUGGGGGCUGAAGGUACCAAAUGAAUAAGCACCGGCUAACUCCGUG